GAUCAUCCACAAGGAAAUAAGUCAGUGGAGAAUGAGAAAGGUGAAAUUAUUUCUGCUUAAGGGGGCUGACACUCUAUAAUUGAAAGAGGACAUACAUACUAAAUCUGCGUCAGGGGAAAGGACACCACCAUAGCAGAGGAUAAUGAAUCACAAAGGGCAUUAAUAAUGAAAUGAUGAAAUCUAUGAAUGUAUAUGUAUAUUUAUAUAUGAUGAUUAUGCUGACAAAACGAUCGCAAAGGAUACAAAUAUCAUUGGUAUGAAUCAUCGAUACAAC
rnacentral:lncRNA from 1 species